rnacentral:rRNA from 1 species
UUUAUUGGAGAGUUUGAUCCUGGCUCAGGACGAACGCUGGCGGCAUGCCUAAUACAUGCAAGUCGAGCGGACUUGAAGAGAAGCUUGCUUCUCUGAUGGUUAGCGGCGGACGGGUGAGUAACACGUAGGCAACCUGCCCUCAAGCUUGGGACAACUACCGGAAACGGUAGCUAAUACCGAAUACUUGCUU